UCAUUUGUGUAGUCCAUACUCAUGUAUUUUUCAUUAGAUGAAUCAAAUAGAACUGUAGCUCGGUCAGAUUGCCUACCUACUCCUACUGUGUAAGAUGUCUAACAUUGGCUCAAAAUUCCUUGAGAUAUCAAGAUUUAUUUCAAGGGUUCAUGUGCCUAAAGAAGCUACAUUCAUAUAUUAACACUUUCAGCCCUUGCCAAUUUCAUUGAGUCAUUGGAGUGAACAUUCAUAAAAAUCUCUGCUUAUCUAACAUUUGUUCUCUUUUGAAGAAUCAUGAGUGCAACAUGUUACUCUUUUUUUCUUUAAUUUUGUUACUUCAUGGUGUUUUGUAAUAUUUGUUUUCUUCAAUCCUUACAAAAUUGAUGUUCUCUUAUGGCUGUCUGCAUGGUUGUCCAUGUUUUUGUAUUCAAUCCACUCUAUCUUGUGUCUCGUUGCAGAGAUUGCUGAUUUUUUUUUAUCUGGUUGCAUGCUUACAGGGGCCUAGUUGGUUAUAGAAGUGUGUUUAGCAGUGAUACACGUCAUUUUGAAACAGAUGCUUCCCGACUCCUGCAACUGAGUCUAUUGCCACUUCAUUUCAUGAUCUGUGCAACUAACAAUUGUUCAAUCAUGGACUGAUUUUGUCCAUUCGCCUUGAAUUCAUUGCAUUUUUCCCUGUGUUUCUCUAUUGCAUGACACAUUUCUGCCAAUGCCCCAUACUAGUUCUCAUGACUUGCUUCUCCAGGUGCGAGCUGUUUGACACAUACUUAAGAACUUACGAUCUCUUGCAUGCAUCUGGCCUUUUCUCCAUCGAGCAAAAACGGUAGGCUUACCCUUACAUUAAAUGUGGGAUGCCAGCAUAUAUGACAUAUUUGCAAUUUUUUUUUGUCUUCUCUGCAUCAUUUUAGUACACAAUUCUAGGCUUUAAGCAUACAAUUGGUCCAUGUUUGUAGCUUUUGGUUCGCAACAGCGUUAUGUACAGAGGAUCUCACCAAGUUGGGGGAUGAUGCAAAAAUAUAUCAUGUCCUGCAAUCCCAUCCAUCUGAUUGUUGGCCUGCAGAUGGAUGAUUAAAAAAUAAACUAUAGCCAACAUUCCACAUGUACCCGAAGGCACACCUAUCUGAUAGGUGGGAUUAUGUGAUGAAUGUAAUCAGUCAUCCAGAAGUUUGCCAGACCCAUGUGUAGCUCUCUCCACAAGCACCUUUACACACAGCGAAAGUGCCAACCAGAGAAUGCAUGGGACAUGUAGGGUGGACCACACAUUGAAAUGAAACAUCAUCUGCAAAAAUCAGGAUGGUUCACUCAUCGAGCUGGUGACACGGGUUUGUUGGAUGUCAAUGCUUAGCAUUUCUUUUUUCCUUCUUCUAAAACCAUGCAGCCAGGUUUUGUUCUUAUGUUCCCCUCAUGGUGGGGGCCAUCUUGCCCCACACUCACCUGAUUUUGCACAAUGCUGCAUAUGGAGGUGCUUUUUGGACAGGGUGCAUGUGGGGCUAGCUAAUCUCUAGCCAUCCAACAGCUACAUUGCGGUCCACUGGAUGGACUGGGAAAUUGCUAGGUUUGGCCGAGCAUGUUCAAUAGCAUAUGACCCUCUUUAACAAUUUCUCUGUUCUGUCUCAGACGCAACAUCUCCAGCAUCAUUCUUGAGAUGGAUUGGAUGCUGAGACCCGGUGGGCGUGCCUACAUUCUUGACACUAUAUCCAUCAUUGAAGAAGUUCAGGAAAUCGCAGUCGCCAUGGGCUGGAGGGCGGCGUUGCACGACACAUCUGAAGGCCCUUAUGCAAGCCGAAGGGUGGUGUCUGAAUACAAGGAAGCUAAGGAGGUAGAUUAUGUGCAAUUACUUCUUUUUUCUACCAGGCUACUAACGUAUGACAACGUUUUUCAGUCAAAUUCUACACACUUCAGUGAUAGGCUGACGUUCUGUGGCCAUUCUGCAUAUUGGAGUUGAGGCUGUCCCAGUUCUCGUCGGUCCUGUUUCGUACCUGUUGCUUUCAAAGCUGGCGAAGGGUGUGGAAAAAUCAUUUUCUCCUGUCUUUUCUUGGGAAGAUCAUUCCAGUUUACAAAGAGGUUUUGGCUGACUUGAAAGCAGCUGGGGCUACCUGGGUGCAGUUUGAUGAGCCAACGCUUGUGCUGGAUUUGGACUUUCAUCAACUGAAAACAUUUACAGAUGGAAGAGUCCUUAUCUGGUCUUAAGGUUAUUGUUGAGACCUACUUCGCUGAUGUGCCGGCUGGAGCAUAUAAGUCUGUUGGCAUUUUAUAUCCAAUAUUAUUAGUUCAUCAUGAUCUGCUUGUACUCUUUUGUUCUCUGUUUUUUUUUUUUUUUUGGUAAAUUCAUACUACUCUCUCAAAGAUGUUAUGGGUGGAAGGCUAGGAAAGGAAGACAUUUGUAGUUUGUUUUGGUAAAUUAAUUGUUUUGUUGAUAUUGUGCUGAUUAUUGUCUUGAUGAA